ensembl:snoRNA
UAAUAAAAUGAUGGCAGUUACCUUUCAGGACUGGCCUGAAAUGAAGAGAAUACUCAUUCCUGAUCACUU